CCUACGGGAGGCAGCAGUAGGGAAUAUUGCUCAAUGGGGGAAACCCUGAAGCAGCAACGCCGCGUGGAGGAUGAAGGUUUUCGGAUUGUAAACUCCUUUUGUUAGAGAAGAUAAUGACGGUAUCUAACGAAUAAGCACCGGCUAACUCCGUGCCAGCAGCCGCGGUAAUACGGAGGGUGCAAGCGUUACUCGGAAUCACUGGGCGUAAAGAGCGCGGAGGCGGGAAAGCAAGUCAGAUGUGAAAUCCUAUGGAUUAACCAUAGACCUGCAUUUGAAACUGUUAUUCAAGAGUGUGGGAGAGGAGGGGGAAAUUCUAGGUGGAGGGGUAAAAUCCGUA
rnacentral:rRNA from 1 species